UUGCUUUGGGUUGUCCCUGAGGCGGAAAGGAGAGGGCUCUACCUCUCCCCAAGAGGAGGCCAGGAACGAUAGGAAGUAGAAGACCGAAAGGAAAUAGCAGUGACAAGUUUGCAGCUCCAGAGAAGCCACCGCCCCUUGUACUUGGAGGAACUGACCCCUGAAAACUGUGCGGCCGGUUGGGCUGAGCGUCUAGAGGGACUGAGCUGGACAACCACGGGCAAGCGAGGGCAGCUCCCAGCGGGUGGAGUCCGCGCGGGAUUCUGGUGCCACCUAGACGCCAGGGCGGGGACCGCAAGGCAAGGGCAACAGAAAACGCAAAGUGUCCUUUCCAGGAGGGCCAAAGGAGGGGGGCAGGGACGCUGGGAAGAGGCGCCAAAGCGGAGGACGGCUGCAGGGGUGACUUCAGCGCUUGGCUACCAAGACCAGGUGUUUCUCUUCCUCCUGCCCUGGGUACCAUCCCACAGAGAGGCCAGGCCCACCUGCAGGUCCUCACCUCCACAGAGCCAGCCUCUCUUGAGCAGCUCCGCUCUGCCUUCUGAUACUCAUCGCCACAAGCACCUUGUCCUUCCUCGGCCUCCCACUCCCUCCCUCUGAGCCCGCGCCCUGCUCCCCUGCCUGGCGGUCAGUCGACUGCCCCGCCCCGCCUCCAAUUCAGGUGGACAGGCUUCAGCGUCCACUACCGGGGAAGAGGCAGCCCCGCACCCGUGCCUCCCCCCGCCUCUGGGCCGCUCCUUCCCAGCCUGAGCCUGACCGCAUGAGGAAGGCACAACCUCUCUGCUCCAGAGACCUGGAGAGGCCGGGAGGCCCUGUCCUGGGCAUGGAAGGCAGGAGGGAGCCCUGAGUGCGGCAGGAGGGAAGCAGCGCUUCAGGGGAAGGAUCUAAUGGCUGUGACCUGCGUGGGCUGCAGAAAAGAAAUCUCUAAUGCACUGAUGAAUGGAGGAAGGGCAUCACCAAGCCGGUCGGUAUAGGAAGGGGACCCAACAGACAUUCAACUCUUUGGUUUAUGCUCGGUCAUUGGUUUCCACACAUCUGUGCUUUCAGGAUGAAGAUGUGGUCUUCUAAACACGUCCAUUUUACCAAACUUGCUAAAUGUUUAAAUCUCUUAUAUACUUUCCUGAAUUUUUUGUUGCUUGGUCUACAUGAAGCAUAUUAAAAUCUCCCACUAUGAUGCUGGAUUUCUUAUUUUUCCAUAUAGCUGUUUUUGUUUUACAUAUUUUGAGGCAAUGUUAUUAGGUGCAUAACUUAGAAUCUUUGUUUUUCUGAAGAAUUGGGUAAGCAUAUCAUUAUGUAGUGGUUCGAUCUGUAGUAAUGCUUUUUGUCUUAAAGCCUAUUUCCAGGGCUGUGGUGUUCCACAGCUCCAGGGAGGACAUUCACAUUACAGUUUAUGCAAAUAAACUGAAAUUAGACAGUCUGUUUCGUUACUUUGGAGUGGCCUUAAUUCUGUGGGUUAUGAGUAUAACUUCUCAGUUUUAUUUUGGUUAGUAUCUGCCUGAUGUAUCUUUUCCAUCCUUUCUUAUAUUGUAGGUUGCCUAUGUCUCUCUCUUGUCAUCACAU
rnacentral:lncRNA from 10 species